rnacentral:rRNA from 1 species
GACGAACGCUGGCGGCGUGCUUAACACAUGCAAGUCGAACGGAAAGGCCCUGCCUUUGUGGGGUGCUCGAGUGGCGAACGGGUGAGUAACACGUGAGUAACCUGCCCUUGACUUUGGGAUAACUUCAGGAAACUGGGGCUAAUACCGGAUAGGAGCUCCUGCUGCAUGGUGGGGGUUGGAAAGUUUCGGCGGUUGGGGAUGGACUCGCGGCUUAUCAGCUUGUUGGUGGGGUAGUGUCUUACCAAGGCUUUGACGGGUAGCCGGCCUGAGAGGGUAAGCGGCCACGUUGGGACUGAGAUACGACCCAGACUACUACGGGACGCAGCGGUGGGGAAUGGUACACAAUGGGCGGAAGGAUGAUGCAGCAACGCCGCGUGGGGGAAGACGGGAUUCGGGUUGUGAACCGCUUUCGCCUGUGACGAAGCGUGAGUGACGGUAAUGGGUAAAGAAGCACCGGCUAACUACGUG